rnacentral:rRNA from 1 species
CCUACGGGGGGCUGCAGUGGGGAAUAUUGGACAAUGGGCGAAAGCCUGAUCCAGCCAUGCCGCGUGUGUGAAGAAGGCCUUCGGGUUGUAAAGCACUUUCAGUGGGGAAGAAAGCCUUGGGGCUAAUACCCUCGAGGAAGGACAUCACCCACAGAAGAAGCACCGGCUAACUCCGUGCCAGCAGCCGCGGUAAUACGGAGGGUGCGAGCGUUAAUCGGAAUUACUGGGCGUAAAGCGCGCGUAGGCGGUCUGAUAAGCCGGUUGUGAAAGCCCCGGGCUCAACCUGGGAACGGCAUCCGGAACUGUCAGGCUAGAGUGCAGGAGAGGAAGGUAGAAUUCCCGGUGUAGCGGUGAAACGCGUAGAGAUCGGGAGGAAUACCAGUGGCGAAGGCGGCCUUCUGGACUGACACUGACGCUGAGGUGCGAAAGCGUGGGUAGCAAACAGGAUUAGAUACCCGAGUAGUC